rnacentral:snRNA from 1 species
GUGCUUCAGGGGGCUCGUGUUCUAAAAUGGAAUGGCAUAGAGAUGACUGAGCACGAUCCCUGCAUGAGGAUGACACACAAACUCAUGAAGCGUUCCAACACAUU